AAUCAACGCUGGCGGCGUGCCUAACACAUGCAAGUCGAACGCGAAAGCCCUUUCGGGGGUAAGUAGAGUGGCGUCCGGGUGAGUAACACGUAGGUAAUCUGCCUUCGGGUGGGGAAGUAACCAGUCGAAGAUUGGCUAAUACCGCAUAAUGCAGCGGCACCUAAUGGUGAUUAGUUGUUAAAGACGGGGGAGUCGUAAGACCUCGCGCCUGAAGAGGAGCCUGCGGCAGAUUAGCUAGNGGUUGAGGUAAUGGCUCACCAAGGCUUCGAUCUGUAGCUGGUCUGAGAGGACGGCCAGCCACACUGGCACUGACACACGGGGCCAGACUCCUACGGGAGGCAGCAGUGGGGGAAUUUUUGGGCAAUGGGGCGAAAGCCUGACGCAGCGACGCCGCGUGGGGGGA
rnacentral:rRNA from 1 species